rnacentral:rRNA from 1 species
UGGGGAAUUUUGGACAAUGGGCGCAAGCCUGAUCCAGCCAUGCCGCGUGCGGGGAGAAGGCCUUCGGGUUGUAAACCGCUUUUGUCAGGGAAGAAAUCUUCUGAGUUAAUACCUCGGGAGGAUGACGGUACCUGAAGAAUAAGCACCGGCUAACUACGUGCCAGCAGCCGCGGUAAUACGUAGGGUGCAAGCGUUAAUCGGAAUUACUGGGCGUAAAGCGUGCGCAGGCGGUUUUGUAAGACAGAGGUGAAAUCCCCGGGCUCAACCUGGGAACUGCCUUUGUGACUGCAAGGCUUGAGUGCGGCAGAGGGGGGAUGGAAUUCCGCGUGUAGCAGUGAAAUGCGUAGAUAUGCGGAGGAACACCGAUGGCGAAGGCAAUCCCCUGGGCCUGCACUGACGCUCAUGCACGAAAGCGUGGGGAGCAAACAGGAUUAGAUACCCUGGUAGUCCACGCCCUAAACGAUGUCAACUGGUUGUUGGGAAGGUUCCUUCUCAGUAACGUAGCUAACGCGUGAAGUUGACCGCCUGGGGAGUACGGCCGCAAGGUU